ACGCUGGCGGCAUGCCUUACACAUGCAAGUCGAACGGCAGCACGGAGCUUGCUCUGGUGGCGAGUGGCGAACGGGUGAGUAAUAUAUCGGAACGUACCCUGGAGUGGGGGAUAACGUAGCGAAAGUUACGCUAAUACCGCAUACGAUCUACGGAUGAAAGUGGGGGAUCGCAAGACCUCAUGCUCGUGGAGCGGCCGAUAUCUGAUUAGCUAGUUGGUAGGGUAAAAGCCUACCAAGGCAUCGAUCAGUAGCUGGUCUGAGAGGACGACCAGCCACACUGGAACUGAGACACGGUCCAGACUCCUACGGGAGGCAGCAGUGGGGAAUCUUGGACAAUGGGCGAAAGCCUGAUCCAGCAAUGCCGCGUGAGUGAAGAAGGCCUUCGGGUUGUAAAGCUCUUUUGUCAGGGAAGAAACGGUGAGGGCUAAUAUCCCUUGCUAAUGACGGUACCUGAAGAAUAAGCACCGGCUAACUACGUGCCAGCAGCCGCGGUAAUACGUAGGGUGCAAGCGUUAAUCGGAAUUACUGGGCGUAAAGCGUGCGCAGGCGGUUUUGUAAGUCUGAUGUGAAAUCCCCGGGCUCAACCUGGGAAUUGCAUUGGAGACUGCAAGGCUAGAAUCUGGCAGAGGGGGGUAGAAUUCCACGUGUAGCAGUGAAAUGCGUAGAUAUGUGGAGGAACACCGAUGGCGAAGGCAGCCCCCUGGGUCAAGAUUGACGCUCAUGCACGAAAGCGUGGGGAGCAAAC
rnacentral:rRNA from 1 species